UACAGAGGUCCCAAGCGUUGUUCGGAUUCACUGGGCGUAACGGGUGCGUAGGCGGUCGGGUAAGUCUGAUGUGAAAUCUCACAGCUUAACUGUGAAACUGCAUUGGAUACUAUCCGGCUCGAGGAAUGGAGGGGAGACUGGAAUACUUGGUGUAGCAGUGAAAUGCGUAGAUAUCAAGUGGAACACCAGUGGCGAAGGCGAGUCUCUGGACAUUUCCUGACGCUGAGGCACGAAAGCCAGGGGAGCAAACGGG
rnacentral:rRNA from 1 species